CCUACGGGUGGCAGCAGUGAGGAAUAUUGGUCAAUGGGCGUAAGCCUGAACCAGCCAAGCCGCGUGAGGGAUGAAGGUUCUAUGGAUCGUAAACCUCUUUUAUAAGGGAAUAAAGUGUGGGACGUGUCCUAUUUUGUAUGUAUCUUAUGAAUAAGGAUCGGCUAACUCCGUGCCAGCAGCCGCGGUAAUACGGAGGAUUCGAGCGUUAUCCGGAUUUAUUGGGUUUAAAGGGUGCGUAGGCGGCCUUUUAAGUCAGCGGUGAAAGCCUGGGGCUCAACCAUGGAAUUGCCGUUGAUACUGGGGGGCUGGAGAGUGUUUGAGGCAGGCGGAAUGCGUGGUGUAGCGGUGAAAUGCUUAGAGAUCACGCAGAACCCCGAUUGCGAAGGCAGCCUGCCAAGCCAUGACUGACGCUGAGGCACGAAAGCGUGGGGAGCAAACAGGAUUAGAUACCCCUGUAGUC
rnacentral:rRNA from 1 species